rnacentral:rRNA from 1 species
UCCGGGGGGAGCAAGCGUUGUUCGGAUUUACUGGGCGGAAAGGGCGCGUAGGCGGUCAGCACAAGUCAGUUGUGAAAUCUCCGGGCUUAACUCGGAAAGGUCAACUGAUACUGUGCGACUAGAGUGCGGAAGGGGCAACUGGAAUUCUCGGUGUAGCGGUGAAAUGCGUAGAUAUCGAGAGGAACACCUGCGGCGAAGGCGGGUUGCUGGGCCGACACUGACGCUGAUGCGCGAAAGCCAGGGGAGCGAACGGG